rnacentral:misc_RNA from 1 species
CAACACUCAAGCCUAGCUUGGUAUUGGGCGCCGCCCUCUAGGGGCGCGCCUUAAACUCCUCGGCGUCGCCGUCCGUCUUUAAGCGCAGCGAGAUUUUCCAGCGUUUUCAAAGUCGGGCCUCGACCGCCGUAUAACACCUUAUUCUUCUCAA